rnacentral:rRNA from 1 species
UUUCUUUAUAGCAAGCUAUAAAGAAAAUUAGUGGCAGGCGGGUGAGUAAUAAAUAGGAAUCUACCUAGCAGUAAGGAAUAACCUCUAGAAAUAGAGACUAAUACCAUAUAUUACCGGUUUAUGUAGUGUAAAUCGGGAAAGAUUUAUCGCUGUUAGAUGAGCCUAUUUCGGAUUAGCUAGUUGGUGGGGUAAAGGCCUACCAAGGCGAUGAUCCGUAGCUGGUUUGAGAGAAUGAUCAGCCACAUUGGGACUGCGACACGGCCCAAACUCCUACGGGAGGCAGCAGUAGGGAAUAUUGGACAAUGGGCGAAAGCCUGAUCCAGCAAUACCACGUGAGCGACGAAGGCCUUCGGGUUGUAAAGCUCUUUCGGCAGGGAAGAUAAUGACUGUACCUGCAUAAGAAGCACCGGCUAACUUCGUGCCAGCAGCCGCGGUAAGACGAAGGGUGCUAGUGUUGUUCGGAAUCAUUGGGCGUAAAGGGUACGUAGGCUGUAUAGAAAGUUAGAUGUUAAAGCCCACGGCUUAACUGUGGAAUCGCAUCUAAAACUACUAUUCUAGAGUGUGAUAAAGGAUAGCGGAAUUUCUAGUGUAGGGGUAAAAUCCGUAGAUAUUAGAAAGAACACCAGUGGCGAAAGCGGCUAUCUAUGUCAUUACUGACGCUGAAGUACGAAAGCGUGGGGAGCAAACAGGAUUAGAGACCCUGGUAGUCCACGCAGUAAACGAUGAGUGCUAAUUGUCGGAAUCUUAGAUUUCGGUGGUAAAGCUAACGCAUUAAGCACUCCGCCUGGGUAGUACGGCCGCAAGGCUAAAACUCAAAGGAAUUGACGGGGACCCGCACAAGCGGUGGAGCACGUGGUUUAAUUCGGUGCUACCCGAAAAACCUUACCAACUUUUGCAUGGCUAUCGCGGAGAUCAGAGAUGAACUCCUUCAGUUAGGCUGGAUAGCACACAGGUGAUGCAUGGCUGUCGUCAGUUCGUGUCGUGAGAUGUUAGGUUAAGUCCUUUAACGAACAGAACCCUCGUCCUUAUUUGCCAGCGGGUCAUGCCGGGAACUAUAAGGAAACCGCCAGUGAUAAACUGGAGGAAGGUGGGGACGAUGUCAAGUCAUCAUGUCCUUUAUAGGUUGGGCCACACACGCGCUACAAUGGCGGUAACAACGCGAAGCAAAAGAGCGAUCUUGAGCAAAUCCUUCAAAAUCCGUCUCAGUUCAGAUUGCAGGCUGCAAUUCGCCUGCAUGAAGUCGGAAUCGCUAGUAAUCGCAGAUCAGCAUGCUGCGGUGAAUACGUUCUCGGGUCUUGUACACACUGCCCGUCAAGCCAUGGAAGCUGUCUUUAUCUGAAUUAGGUGAGCUAACCCGCAGGGGAGGCAUCCUAACACGGUAGGGGUGGUGACUGGGGUUAAGUCGAAACAAGGUA